UACAGAGGCCUCGAGCGUUAGGCGGAAUCACUGGGCUUAAAGCGUGUGUAGGCGGAGUUCUAAGUACCUUGUGAAAUCCCACCGCUCAACGGUGGAACCGCUUGGUAUACGUGGUUCUCUUGAGCCACUUAGGGGCUAACCGGAACAAAUGGUGGAGCGGUGAAAUGCGUAGAUAUCAAUUUGGAACGCCAAUGGGUGAAAACAGGUAGCUGGGAGUGUGCUGACGGCUGAGACACGGAAAGCCAGGGGAGCGAACGGG
rnacentral:rRNA from 1 species